rnacentral:rRNA from 1 species
UACGGAGGGUGCAAGCGUUAUCCGGAUUCACUGGGUUUAAAGGGUGCGUAGGAGGGCAGGUAAGUCAGUGGUGAAAUCCCCGAGCUUAACUUGGGAACUGCCGUCGAUACUAUCUGUCUUGAAUGUUGUGGAGGUGAGCGGAAUAUGUCAUGUAGCGGUGAAAUGCUUAGAUAUGACAUAGAACACCAAUUGCGAAGGCAGCUCGCUACACAAUUAUUGACUCUGAGGCACGAAAGCGUGGGGAUCAAACAGG